CUUUCAUCUCUCACUCUAUUCUAUUAUCACUCACACACACUCUCUACACAAAAUCUCUCUAAAAACACAUUGCCGCCCACCUUUAAGAUCUCCACUCCGUCUCUCCAUAGACAAUUGUCCGGUGACUGGGACGAUGAAGUAGGUGUGGAAUAGUAACAAGGAAGCCGGGAUUUUGACAUCGGACCCCAAUUCUUUCCUCUCCUCGUUCUACUUUUUGCUUACGUGUAAAUUGAAUUAUAGUUGAUAGAUUAUCGGUUUGAGAUCGUUUUCGAAAUUUUAGUCCUUCUUUCUAUUUCUAUUUCUAUUUUGUGAAUUUCUUUAGCUCCAAUGUGAUUAUAUCUAUGGGGAACGAAAUUAAAGGGCCCGAUGUGUGAUUUAAUGGCCAAGAUCACUAUUACGCCUCCCACUUUCAUCUAGACCUGAGAUAGAUCCACAGAUGUGUGCUUCUAUGCCUUUCUACUAAUUUCAUCUCCUAAUUUUUAUUGUUUUAAAACUUGAAUUUAAGCCCUCUUGACAUAUUUUUUUUGAGACCCCUUAUACGAACAUUAGAGUCAUGACUAAUUUUUUGUUAUUGAUUAUAUUUGUUUCUAUUUUUUAUUUUUUUUUGUCUGUCUUAUUGUUGAUAUCUUUCCUUUUCUCUUCUACAAACAUUAGAUUCU
rnacentral:lncRNA from 1 species